rnacentral:rRNA from 1 species
UACGUAGGGUGCAAGCGUUGUCCGGAAUUAUUGGGCGUAAAGAGCUCGUAGGCGGUUUGUCGCGUCUGCUGUGAAAACUCGGGGCUUAACCCCGGGCCUGCAGUGGAUACGGGCAGACUAGAGGUAGGUAGGGGAGAAUGGAAUUCCCGGUGUAGCGGUGAAAUGCGCAGAUAUCGGGAGGAACACCGGUGGCGAAGGCGGUUCUCUGGGCCUUACCUGACGCUGAGGAGCGAAAGCGUGGGGAGCGAACAGG